ACCAAUUGGACCCGGGGGCGGUACCCGGCGCCUCCACCAAAGUAUAAUCAAACAAAGAUUAUAUUUUUAUGGGGGCGAAACAGGAUCGACAAGGGUGUAAAGAUUGCUCUUUUACUCGGCAUUGUACCACCGUUAUCGGAGUAAAUGAGUAGUUGCAAAUGACAAAUAUGCGGAAGCACGUCUCGUCGCUGCUUAAGCGAUGCGAAAGCUUCAAAUUAAGUCCUUAAACCUCGCAGGUCUAAGCGGGGUUUGAAGG
rnacentral:tmRNA from 1 species